rnacentral:rRNA from 1 species
GGCGGACGGGUGAGUAACACGUAUGCAACCUGCCUGUAAGACUGGGAUAACAUUCGGAAACUAAUGCUAAUCCCAGAUACACGAUUUCCUCGCAUGGGGAGAUCGGGAAAGACGGAGCAAUCUGUCACUUACAGAUGGGCCUGCGGCGCAUUAGCUAGUUGGUGGGGUAACGGCCUACCAAGGCGACGAUGCGNUAGCCGACCUGAGAGGGUGAUCGGCCACACUGGGACUGAGACACGGCCCAGACUCCUACGGGAGGCAGCAGUAGGGAAUCUUCCGCAAUGGACGAAAGUCUGACGGAGCAACGCCGCUGUGAGUGAUGAAGGCUUUCGGGUCGUAAAGCUCUGUUGCCAGGGAAGAACACUUGAGAGAGUAACUGCUCCCAGGUGACGGUACCUGAGAAGAAAGCCCCGGCUAACUACGUGCCAGCAGCCGCGGUAAUACGUAGGGGGCAAGCGUUGUCCGGAAUUAUUGGGCGUAAGCGCGCGCAAGCGGCUUUGUAAGUCUGUCGUUUAAGUUCGGGGCUCAACCCCGUAUCGCGAUGGAAACUGCAAGGCUUGAGUGC